CCUACGGGGGGCAGCAGUGAGGAAUAUUGGUCAAUGGACGAGAGUCUGAACCAGCCAAGUAGCGUGAAGGAUGACUGCCCUAUGGGUUGUAAACUUCUUUUAUAAAGGAAUAAAACGAGGCACGUGUGCCUUUUUGCAUGUACUUUAUGAAUAAGGAUCGGCUAACUCCGUGCCAGCAGCCGCGGUAAUACGGAGGAUCCGAGCGUUAUCCGGAUUUAUUGGGUUUAAAGGGAGCGUAGAUGGGUUGUUAAGUCAGUUGUGAAAGUUUGCGGCUCAACCGUAAAAUUGCAAUUGAUACUGGCAGUCGUGAGUACAGUUGAGGUAGGCGGAAUUCGUGGUGUAGCGGUGAAAUGCUUAGAUAUCACGAAGAACCCCGAUUGCGAAGGCAGCUUACUAAACUGUGACUGACAUUGCUGCUCGAAAGUGUGGGUAUCAAACAGGAUUAGAUACCCGAGUAGUA
rnacentral:rRNA from 1 species